rnacentral:rRNA from 1 species
GAAUAUUAGGACAAUGGGCGCAAGCCUGAUCCAGCAAUACCGCGUGUGUGAAGAAGGCCUGAGGGUUGUAAAGCACUUUCAAUUGGGAGGAAAACCUGCCGGUCAAUACCCGGCAGCUUGACAUUACCUUUAGAAGAAGCACCGGCUAACUCCGUGCCAGCAGCCGCGGUAAUACGGAGGGUGCGAGCGUUAAUCGGAAUUACUGGGCGUAAAGCGUGCGUAGGCGGUUAUUUAAGUCAGAUGUGAAAGCCCCGGGCUUAACCUGGGAACUGCAUUUGAUACUGGGUAACUAGAGUUUAGUAGAGGAAAGUGGAAUUUCAGGUGUAGCGGURARAUGCGUAGAGAUCGGAAGGAACACCAGU